GGGCACUUAGCACAGUUGGUAGAGCGCCUGCUUUGCAUACUUGCGUCUAAACAACGCAACAAGUGCGAAUUGCAUGAGGUCAAGGGUUCGAUUCCCUUAGUGUCCA